AGGGUUUUUAUUUUAUACUUUAAACCUUAAAUUUAUUUUUUAAAUGUUUAUAUUAUUUGAAUAAAACAUUCAAAUAAUAUAAAAAAUAAUAUAUAUAUUGACAUGGAUUAAACAAAGAUAUAUAUUAUUUUAUGUUGUAUAAACAAAUUGGCAAAAUAGAGAUGGAAGAUAAAAAUAUGGUCAAAGUAAUAAGAGUCUAUGGUGGAUGCCUAGGAGCUUUAAGGCGAAGAAGGUCGUGAUAAGCUGCGAAAAGCUUGGGGGGAGAAGCAAACAUUUAUUGAUCCCAAGAUUACCGAAUGGAGUAAUCCAGCUAGCAAGAUGC
rnacentral:misc_RNA from 1 species